GACUUCCAAUUAAAUUUUAUUUCAAAUAAGUAUAUAUAUUUUUAAAUAUAAAUACAUCCUUGUUAUAACUGGGGCAUACUUAUGCUAAAAAUGUAUUACCUGUUUUAGCUGAAAUUUGAGUUUAAAUGAUUGUCCUGUAUU
rnacentral:miRNA from 1 species